rnacentral:rRNA from 1 species
UACGGAGGGUGCAAGCGUUAUCCGGAUUCACUGGGUUUAAAGGGUGCGUAGGUGGGUCUGUAAGUCAGUGGUGAAAUCUCCGAGCUUAACUUGGAAACUGCCAUUGAUACUAUAGAUCUUGAAUACCGUGGAGGUCAGCGGAAUAUGUCAUGUAGCGGUGAAAUGCUUAGAUAUGACAUAGAACACCAAUUGCGAAGGCAGCUGGCUACACGAAUAUUGACACUGAUGCACGAAAGCAUGGGGAUCAAACAGG